GUGGAUUAGAUACCCUGGUAGUCCACGCCGUAAACGAUGGAUACUAGCUGUUGGGCGCAAGUUCAGUGGCUAAGCGAAAGUGAUAAGUAUCCCACCUGGGGAGUACGAACGCAAGUUUGAAACUCAAAGGAAUUGACGGGGGCCCGCACAAGCGGUGGAGCAUGUGGUUUAAUUCGAUGAUACGCGAGGAACCUUACCAAGGCUUAAAUGUAGAUUGACCGGUUUGGAAACAGAUCUUUCGCAAGACAAUUUACAAGGUGCUGCACGGCCGUCGCCAGCU
rnacentral:rRNA from 1 species